rnacentral:lncRNA from 1 species
GUUUUUACCUCUCAGAUCUUAAGUGUGGGCAGAAAGUUCAUGAGACAAGACCAUGGAGUUACUUCAACCUUUUCACUCGGAUUGUUGGGGGGAACCAGGUUUCCUUGAAACGAAGAGAAAAGCAUUUCUGUGGAGGCACCAUUGUUUCUGCUCAGUGGGUGGUCACGGCAGCUCACUGCGUCUCAGACAGGAACCUACUCAAGUAUUUGAAUGUCACUGCAGGAGAGCAUGACUUAAGAAUCAGGGAGAAUGGAGAGCAGACUCUGCCUGUUAAAUAUAUCAUUAAACAUCCAAACUUUGACCCACGAAGG